rnacentral:lncRNA from 1 species
CCCAGUAGCCAUUUGAAAGAUAUCUAUAUUUAUAUAUCCACCACCAAUUAGAUCAGAAGCCAAAUCAAUUCUUACUCUAGUUUCUGAUUCUUCAUUCACUGACAACAGCUCCAAUAAACUUUUAGAAAUAUCUUUGGUAGUGGAAUAUUCCAACCAAAGUAUCAACAAAAACAUGUGCUAAAGCUCAAUCAACUUCAUACAGACUGGCUAAGUCAUAGUAGUAACUCAAUUGUUGAUAGUAUAUGCUAAACAAAAACAUAGAUUAAUGUAAAUAUGUAAAAUCAAUAACUCCUCAGAUUCAGAUUGAAUGUUCACAUUUGACUUAGUAUUGAGAUUUAGAAGAAUAUAUUAAUUCUAAUCUUUUUAUAUUAUUUAAAAAUCUUUGAAAACUACAAAACUUAGAAUCUUUUUUCGUUUCGGAAAAAGACAAUGAAUAGGGCCCAAAGGUAAGAAACUUAAAAAUGAAGCGCGAGACCAAAUUAUAAGUUUUUCCAUCUACCACGCUAUUAAACCAUAUAAGAAAGAAAAUCGCACGACUCUUUCGACUGCUACGCUACCCAAUCAGUAAUUUGACUUGUGUUUAUAGAUAGACCUAAGUUUGGGCACCAAAGAUUAAUGAGAGAAAGACUUUGAAGAGAUUGAGUGGUAGUCCUUUAGGCUGAGAAAAAAAGAAUAAGAAAAAUGGAGGGAGAAAGCACCACCACCCUGGAAAAGACAAAGCAAAUGGUAUAUUUAUACAGACACGAAGCUAAUUUAUACAGUCUGGGAAGCUAAUUGAUCAAUCAACUUCAUAUUUGAUCUUUUUUCAACAGCUAAAAAGCUAAAAGUAAGCAUAAAUACGCAAAUCAAAGAAAAAAUCACAUAAAAAUUCAAAUAAAUCUCACUGCAUUUUCUAAUAAAUUUGGCAACCCUAAAAAUUCUAAUAAAUUUCUCAGAAUCUUAAAAAAAUUACUUAAUUCAAUUGGUUAAUUGAAGCUUUCAAUUAUAAUAAAUUUCAACGAUCAAAAUUUAAAAAGAAAAAAAAAAGUAAGAGAAACAUACAGUAAUAUAAUCAAGAGAGACUGGUAGUUGAGAGAGAGGAACGAGCGACAAACUGAGGGAGAGUGAGACGAGCGACAGAUUGAGGCAAAGUUGCUAUUGUUUUCGGAUCUGGUUUGCAUUUCUACUUCUCUUUAUGGGUUUUUGGAGAAAGGAGACAGAGGGAGGGAGGAGGCAAAGAUUUUGAGGAGGAGGAAAAAGGAGGUUUUGGGGUUUUGCGGGAUUUUAGGUUUAUUCAGAGGCUUUUUAGAAGACGAGUGUUUUUUUUUUUUUUU